UUCAGGGACCAUCCCAGCUGAGCCUCCCCAGCUGAGUCCCUGGCCAGGCCCAGCAUGACAACAGACCCUUUCCCUAGGUCUCUUCUCUGGCUGUCUCUGCACUCUGGCCUCUGCCUAACCAGGAUGGCUGGGGAGAGAAGCGGGGAUGCCUCGCCCCUUGACCCUGCUGUCCUUGUUGUUCCCUAUGUGGCGGGUGGGUGGGCUGGCUCCCAUUCAGGAAUGUACUUUGGUUCCCAGUUGAGCAAUGUCACUGCAGAGUGGAGGUCAUCUGGGGGUCGGAAGAGGCUCCCACAGCCCACCCCUCCUUGAGGCAACUGUGGGAACAGACCUACAGGAAACAGCCACUCUGGCCCAGGCUGACCAGGGGCUCUGGACACAGUGGGGCUGAUAGGCUGUGACCUGUGCUGACAUUGUCCUCUGGGCCUCAUUUCUUGGCUAUACUGGAAGGUGGGCUCUGACUCCAUGUAGUCAGAUGGAAAAGGAGAAGGGAGCCAUGGGGACUGUUGGGUGGAAGUCCAGCUCAUGACCUUUGGGCCCUGAUCUCCUAUUAAGCCUGGUCAAAUAUGGACCUCAGUGAGGGCUCACUCCCCCCCCACACUGCUUCCCAGUUGGACACCCUGGGGUCUGGGGAGAACAGGAGCCAGGCCAACGUCCCCAAGGAAGAGGAACUGUCAGUAUAGGAAUAGACUUGAGCACCCAUAGACUCAGGGAGGCAGACAUGCGACCACAGAGGGGCUGAGCUGCAGAGGAAGUGCAGGGGUCCAGGGAGGGCAGCCUCACUCCCUGGAGGCCUAAGGCUGCAUUUCUAGGACAGCUGUUCUCAGGGAUAGGUGGUCUAGUGGCACUGGGUGCUAUAGUUGGACACAUGGCCUGUCUACAUCCCCUGCCCUGUGGGUGACACCCUGGGCCAAGCUGUGGCUGAGCUAUACAAAGUGACACUGUUUUGGGUCCCCUUUCCCUCUUCAGCCCCACUCCUGUGCCAAGUGGAUGCUGCUGUAUAG
rnacentral:lncRNA from 1 species